rnacentral:rRNA from 1 species
UAAUAGUGUAUAUUAAAGUUGUUGCAGUUAAAAAGCUCGUAGUUGAAUGUUGGUGUCGAACGAGCGGUCAGCUUCGGCUGUACUGCUCUCUCGACUCCUUCCUUCUGUGGACUACGUCGCACUUUACUUUGUGGCGCUAGGACGCAGAUCGUUUACUGUGAAAAAAUUAGAGUGUUCAAAGCAGGCCGUACGCUUGAAUACAUUAGCAUGGAAUAAUGGAAUAGGACGUCGGGCCUAUUUUGUUGGUUCUAGGACCGUCGUAAUGAUUAAUAGGGACAGUUGGGGCCGUUUAUAUUCCGUAGUCAGAGGUGAAAUUCUUGGAUUUACGGAAGAUAAACUACUGCGAAAGCAUUCGGCAAGGAUGUUUUCGUUAA